AUGUCUGUCUCCACGUGGUGCGAAAAAGACAAUCUGGAAUAUAAAGGAUUCUGGAGAAGUCUGGAUUGCAAACCUAGGGAGUUCGGGCACCCCGUUGGAGAGGAAGAAGACGGUAGGCGGGCUCAGGAGAUGUCGCAGCAACAGCCGUCGAGCGUUUGGACGCUCUGGUUGUGGUUCGGCAUGCGAGGCGAUCAGCAGAGGCUGCAACUCCCACAGCUCGCGUGCGGACGAUGUGGCCGGACGAACUGGCAUCUGUUUUGGCGGCGUUUGUUCGCAUGUGGAUGGAGCUCGUACGCCAGGAAGAACUGGCGUCUUGAUGGAGCUUGUACGCCAGGAAGAUACGUGGGCUGA
rnacentral:rRNA from 1 species